rnacentral:lncRNA from 8 species
CACCAGCUUUUGAUAGUCUGAGCCCGGAUUCAUAAAGCACCUCAGAGUAGGAGUUCUGAUGUAGGAUCAUGUCCCCCCACAAUCUUAUUCAUUAGGUGCUAAAAAGCUAAACUGAUCCUAGAUCAGCACUCCUGAGAAGCUUUAUAAAUAGGGGCCCUGGUCCGCAACAGGUCUAAAAACCCAAAGCCAUAACCCAAUUCAGAACAUGAAACCGUAGAGACGGCUUGCCGACAACGUCAGGAAAACGAUGAGCACGCUUCAACGGGGAAGAAGUCUGUGUGUUGUGACUAUGACAAGAAGCUGCCACGUGGGGAAUUGUCAGUGGCUGGUUUCAGCUAGUUCCUGAUACCGUGGUCUUGUUUUAACUGAUGUCACGUCUAUGCUAAUAUGGCUCAAAUUCGCUAGGUAGCUAACCAGCAACUGUAACGAUGUAUUUAAGAGACAAGUGCUCAUUGUGCACAUUAGGUUUUCAAUAAACAUUGGAGACGAAACAUAGUUUACAUGUCAACAAUCUAAGCCAACAAAGUCUGUUUUGCCCCAUAGUUUCGCACGCGUCAGCUUUGUUGCUAAACAACCAACCCGUCUAUUGAGGUUACAAAACUGUUCAAAGAACCCAGAAUGACAUUUCACAUCACAUUUAAAAAGAGAAGCAAAGCAAGACGCAAAAUGCUAUACCAAUUUCUUUUAGACUUUAUUAUUCCAUUUUAAAUGUAUGCAUCUCAAGUGGACAAUUUACAUACAACCCAUAGGCUCUCCAGGAAUUGUCUACCAAUGGUUGUACUCAGCCACGGUGGGAGCAGAGCAGGGGUACAAAUCGGAAGACACCAUUUAAGCUUCGAGGGGGGGUUGGGGAGGGAGGUAAGAGGUGGAGUUGCUGUGUGUGGGAGUGUCUCCUCUGCACGCCUGUGGGUUGAGUGUUCCAGAGAGAGAGGAAGAGAGUGAGAGGAGAGAAGAGAGCAGAGGAGCGUGUUAGUGGGAGGGGCAAGUGAACACAUGAGGGGAGGGGACAAAAUGUAACGGGGCAGGACACAUGUGAAAACAAGGGUCAGCUCAGUGACCCUGACAAAGUUCAGAGGGAAAAUAAAUCAAGUGGAAAGAUGGAGUAGAGUGGAGAAGAGUUCAAUAGACUAAAAACGACACUUCAAAUAUCAUGAAAUGCCAAAUGGAUACCCUAAAUGUUCAUGUAGGCCUACAAUUCAUUCACCAACGAUGUGGCAGUUGGCAACCCAUACCAACAACCGUCUAUUAAAGCAGCGGACAAAGCAAAAAUAAUAUUUUUGUGCGCACUUCGCCACAGAUGCGCACGUUUUGGGGCCCGUGCGCGCACACGAAUAUGGAGCGCUGAGCGCAGCAGAAGGAAAGUAAUGUAAAUCCAUCAAAGCGAAAGGAUCCGUGCACGACCCAUGGACGAGUGCCACCUACUGGCCUGUUAUAGAAAUGACGCACCCACUGUAGUAAUGCCUGAAAAGGUCACCCCAAAUAAUGAUGGAUAACGCAUACAUCAGUUGGUAAGCAAAGCACGACUCAUACAAUUAGCCUAUAGCUAAGCUCGAACGCUCCCAUUUCCUCGGCAAAGGCGGCAGUGUCAGUGAGGCCCAAUUCGCGCCCUUGCAUGAACAGAUCUAUAGGAUUCUCAAGGGCACGGACAUACAACCGUCAUACAAGUUGUUAUCUUCAAAAGGCUACCGGCAGAAGUCAGUGCCAUAGUUUGAUAGCCAAUGUUCAGUAACCAUAAACGUGUUUAUAGAACAUUAAGUAACCAAACCAUUAUCUUCCCGACCAUGUUACGAACACAUCUAAUAUUAGCCGAGCCUGGGCAAGGUUGCGCAAUAAAUCCAGAUGAGUAGCCUAUAUCAAAGUAGACUACACAUGUACGGGGAGACUACGGAAAUUAAUUUCAGUUCGUGUUCAAACUCCAUAGUAAACUUUCAUAAAACUGUCAUUCUUUGGUGUUAUAUUACUCUGUAUUUGUCAUGUCACUUUUCCUUGUGGUUGUGAAACCCUUAAUAUAUAUUUUUUAAUUGUUCAUAAAAAAAACUGUGGCAAUUAAUUCAAACACACUACUUAAAUGCUACACUCCAAGGAGGACAUACAGCUAGAAAUACCAUUAUUGCACGGGGUGUGCACAUUCUGCUAAGCAAAAACCACAAUCGUUUUAAAAAUACACAGGCUAAUAGCAUUGACUCUAUGUAGGCUACUACACAAUUCGAAACGCAUAUUUAAUACAUUUACUGUCAAGCAUUUGCAUUUUGGCAGUUGUCAUUG